AUUGAACGCUGGCGGCAUGCUUUACACAUGCAAGUCGGACGGCAGCGGGGUAGUGCUUGCACUACUGCCGGCGAGUGGCGAACGGGUGAGUAACAUAUCGGAACGUACCGAGCAGUGGGGGAUAACUAAUCGAAAGAUUAGCUAAUACCGCAUAUAUUCUGAGGAAGAAAGCAGGGGACCUUUGGGCCUUGCGCUGUUUGAGCGGCCGAUAUCUGAUUAGCUGGUUGGUGGGGUAAAGGCCUACCAAGGCGACGAUCAGUAGCGGGUCUGAGAGGAUGAUCCGCCACACUGGGACUGAGACACGGCCCAGACUCCUACGGGAGGCAGCAGUGGGGAAUUUUGGACAAUGGGGGCAACCCUGAUCCAGCCAUGCCGCGUGUCUGAAGAAGGCCUUCGGGUUGUAAAGGACUUUUGUCCGGGAAGAAAAGCGCGAUGUUAAUACCAUUGCGUGCUGACGGUACCGGAAGAAUAAGCACCGGCUAACUAC
rnacentral:rRNA from 1 species